rnacentral:rRNA from 1 species
UGGGGAAUUUUACGCAAUGGGGGAAACCCUGACGUAGCGACACCGCGUGAGCGAAGAAGCCCUGUGGGGUGUAAAGCUCUGUCAGCUGGAACGAAAAAAAUGACGGUACCAGCAGAGGAAGCAUCGGCUAACUACGUGCCAGCAGCCGCGGUAAGACGUAGGAUGCAAGCGUUGUCCGGAUUUAUUGGGCGUAAAGAGUUCGUAGGCGGUUUGUUAAGUCUGAUGUUAAAGACCGGGGCUCAACCUCGGAAAUGCAUUGGAUACUGGCAGACUGGAGUAUGGUAGAGGUCAGUGGAAUUCCCAGUGUAGCGGUGAAAUGCGUAGAUAUUGGGAAGAACACCGGUGGCGUAAGCGACUGACUGGGCCAUAACUGACGCUGAGGAACGAAAGCCAGGGGAGCGAAUGGGAUUAGAUACCCCCGUAGUCC